AGAAAAAAAAAGUUUGUCAUUAGCCGCCAAGACCCGAGGGGGACCCUGAAGAGGACUGGUGAGGGAAGUCAGGUGCUUGAGGGAGUUUACAAAAGGCGCGGUGGCAGGCUGACGAGGAGGUUCGCUUUCCUGAACGGCGUUGGUGGCAGAAGUUGAGGGAAGAGAAGGACCCAGCCGAGGUGUAUAGGAGCCAGAAGUACCGGGCGCGAGUCACUGACACCCUACCCUGUCUCCUUAGAGACGUGUCUCUAAGUGACUCGAGUUUGUUCAACGGGCGGCCAGUCCUCAGCCAGCUUCCCGCCAUCAGACUCCUGAGGCCGAAAAAGGACACGGAGGUUGCUGUAACUGACCGGGGAGGAGCGGGGCGACGGCGAGCACGGGUGCUGGUUCGCUAGGGAAAAGUGCUUCUCGGGAUUUGGCUUCUUUCGCCUCUUACCUCUUGGUUUUCUCGAAGAGGUUGUGAACAAGCCAAGAAACCAGAAAUGAGUGGAAUGCUAUCUUAAGUCAAAAAUCUGUUACAACCUUUAUAAAUACUACUUAAAUGAAGAAAGAUAAAAAACCCCACAAAAUUCCAACUGAUAGUUACCCCAUUCAGACACUGGUGAAUAUGUCCUUCAGUCCAAGCCGACCUUCCUCCUCAGAGCAAUGGAAUGUGACUGGAAAAAAAGUAUACCAACAUGAAGACUGUUCUCACUUUAAAGUCAUGACCAUGAAUCUAAAGAAGAACCUUUUGCUGUUGGUGGAACUUCAUGUUUUCUAUGUCCCUGAAGGAUCGUGGAACUAUAAGCUAAAUAUCAUUUCAAUAGAAGUUGUUAACAAAUUCAUUUCAGCUGGAUUUAUAAGAGUAUCUCCUCACCUUACUUUACAAGCGCUGAGAGAGCGACUUGGUGAGUUCCUUGGUGAAGAUGCUGUUGCAGAAAAAUUUUUAUUUCUGAAAUGCAUUGGAAAUAAUCUAGCUGUGGUGAAGGUAAAGCAAGAAUCGGAACUGAAACUCAAAUCAUUUGCUCCUCCAUAUGCUCUUCAACCAGAAUUAUAUUUGCUUCCUAUAAUGGAUCAUUUAGGAAAUAUUUAUUCAGCAUCAACUGUUUCUUUAGAUGGGCAGCAGACUAAUAAUGGUGUUGCUGAGGCUGAUGGAAUAAUCCACAGACCACUUAGUGUAACUUUGUUGAACGAAGAACCUGGAACAGAUCCCAGUUUUUUAGUAAACACUUUGAAAGAGCUUCUUAACAAAAAUCAGGAAGAAGCAACAUCAGCUGGGGGAAAAGCCACUCCAAAAGAAAACCAGACUGGAAAAAAUCAAAUUGGAAAUUCUGAAGUUCCAGGAUCAUUGGGAGAAUCAAAUAGUGAUUAUUUUAGCAACAAAAAAAGUCAAUUUCUUUGGAAAAAUGAAGAUGAUGGAGUUAAUAUCAUUAGAACAGAGGACAAUCAGAUAGGUAAAAAAGAGUGCAUCACCCUACCAGAGCUUAUUGAUUUUCCUUCACUUCCUUGUCAACCUGCUCUUUCUCCCGGAAUAACUGAUACCUCUUUAUUACAGAUUGAAAGAGAGAAGAUUAUUGAACAAAUGAAACAAGUAAAGGAAGAAAGACGAUAUCUGGAAAGAAUUAGAGAAGAACUAAUAAAAAAAGUUGAAAAGCUAUUUGAACAAAGCAAAUUAAAGCGAUAUCAUGCCUGUGAUGGUUGGAAGAAAAAAUACUUUGAAACAAAGAAAAUUACAGCAUCAUUAGAGGAGGUUUUAACAAAACUUCGAGAAGAUUUGGAACUUUACUAUAAAAAACUGCUCAUGCAACUUGAAGCCAGGGAGAUCAAGAUGAGACCAAAGAAUCUGGCAAACAUCACAGACUCUAAGAAUUACCUUAUAAUCCAGAUCACUGAAGUACAGCAUGCAAUUGACCAACUUAAGAGAAAACUGGAUACUGACAAAAUGAAACUCAUGAUAGAAGUUAAGGUGAGAAAACAAGCAGUUUCAGAUUUACGCACAUUGAAAACUGAACCGGCACAGAAGAAAAUUAACACAUCUUUACAAUCUCAAUUAGUUCCUGGAAAUGUACUUAGGAGCUCAGCGGAUGAUUUUGUUCAUGAUGAAUCAGCCAAAUCAAAAGGGGUCCCAAGAAGAGGAGGAGAAAGAGGAAGACAGAAAACUUAUUUGAAGAAACAAUAGCUGAAAAUGUCCCUGACCUAGGAAGGAAAUGGACAUCCAGGUUCAAGAAUCACAGAGAGUUCCAAAGAAGAUGAACUCAAGGUGAGGGGGAAAAGAUGGCGGAGGAGUAGGAGACCCUAUUUCAGCUGGUCCCCAGAACUGAGCUGGAUAUCUACCAGACCACUCUGAGCACCCACGAAACCAGCCUGAGAUGUAAGAAGAUCUGGAUCUCUACAAACAGAGUAUCACAGGCGGUUGGUUUUGAGAUUUAAAGUUUUUGGCAACCCUGCAUCAAGCAAGUCUAUCAGCACCAUUAUUCCAACAGCAUUUGCUCACUUCAUGUCUCUGUGUCACAUUUUGGUAAUUCUCACAAUAUAUCAAACUUUUUCAUUAUUCUGAUUUGUGGUCAGUGAUUUUUAAUGUUACUAUUGUAAUAGUUUUAGGGUGCCACAAACCAUGCCCAUAUAAGAUGGCAAACAAUCCAUAAAUGUGUGUGUUCUGACUGCUCCACCCACUGGUUGUUUCCCUGUCUCUGUCCCUCUUUUGGGCCUCCCGAUUCCCUGAGACACAAUAACAUUGAAAUUAGAACAAAUUAAUAACUCUACAAUGGCCUCUAAGUGUUCAAGUGAAAGGAAGAGUCACACGUCUCUCACUUCGAAUCAAAAGCUAGAAAUGAUUAAGCUUAGUGAGGAAAGUUUGUCAAAACCUGAGAAAGGCCAGGGGCACCUGGGUGGCUCAGUCGUUAAGCGCCUGCCUUUGGCUCAGGUCAUGAUCCCAGCAUUCUGGGAUCGAGCCCCGCAUCGGGCUCCCCGCUCGGCGGGAAGCCUGCCUCUCCCCCCUCCACUCCCCCUGCCUGUGCUCCUCUCUCACUGUGUCUCUCUCUGUCAAAUAAAUAAAAUCUUAAAAAAAAAAAAAAAAAAGCUGAGAAAGGCCAAAAGCUAGGCUUCUUGUGCCAAACAGCCAAGUUGUGAAAGAAAAAAUUCUUGAAGGAAUUAAAAGUGCUACUCCAGUGAACACAUUAUAAGAAAGCAUCAAAAACUAAUGAUGUAAUGUAUGGCGAUUAACAUAAUAAAAUAAAAAAAUUAAAAAUAAAUACUAAAAAUUAAAAAAAAAAAUAAGCAAAACAGCCAUAUUGCUGAUAUGGAAAAAGUUGUAGUGGUCUGGAUGGAAGAUCAAACCAGCCACAACAUCCCCUUAAGCCAUAGCUAAUCCAGAGAAUAAGGCCUUAAAUUCUGUGAAGGUUGGGAGAAGUAAGGAAGCUGCAAAAAUAAGUUUGGAGCAACAGAGUUUGUUUCAUGAGGUUUAAGGGAAGAAGUUUUCUCCAUAAAAAAAAAAAAAAUGCAAGGUGAAGCAGCAAGUGCUGAUAUAGAAGCUGUGGUGAAUUAUCUAGAAGAUCUAGCUAAGAUAAUUAAUGAAGGUGGCUAUACUAAACAACAGAUUUUUAAGAUACACAAAACAGCCUUCUAUUGGAAGAAGAUGCCAUCUAGGACUUCCAUACCUGGAAAGAAGUCAAUGCCUGGUUCAAGGCUUCAUAAAACAGGCUGAAUCUCUUGUUAGGGGCUAAAGUAGCUAGUGGCUUUAAGUUGAAGCCAUUUCUCAUUGACCAUUCUAAAAAUCCUAGGCCCCUUAAGAAUUAUGUUAAAUCUACUCUGCCUGUGCUCUAUAAAUGGAAUAAAAAAGCUGGAUGUGGGCACAUCUGUUUACAACAUGGUUUACUGAAUGUUUUAAGCCCACUGUUAAGAGCUACUGAAGAAAGAUUCCUUUCAAAAUAUGACUACUCAUUGACAAUGUACCUGGUCACUGAAGAGCUCUGAUGGAGAUAGACAAUGAGAUGCAUGUUGUUUUCAUGCUGGCUAACACAACAUCCAUUCUGCAGCCCAUGGAUCAAAUAGUCAUUCCAAAUUUCAAAUCUUAUUAUUUAAGAAACGUAUUUAGUAGGACUACAGUUGCCACAGACAAUGAUUCCGUUGAAGGAUCUGGGCAAAGUAAACUGAAAACCUGGGGCACCUGGGUGGCUCAGUUGGUUGAGCGACUGCCUUCGGCUCAGGUCAUGAUCCUGGAGUCCCUGGAUCGAGUCCUGCAUUGGGCUCCCUGCUCAGCAGGGAGUCUACUUCUCCCUCUGACCCUCCCCCCUCUCAUGUGCUCUCUCUCUCAAAUAAAUAAAUAAAAAAUCUUUAAAAAAAGAAAGAAAGAAAACCUUCUGGAAAGGAUUCACCAUUCUAUAUGCCAUUAAGAACAUUUGUGAUUCAUGGGGAAAAAAUCAAAAUAUUAACAGUAAGAGGAGUUUGGAACAGGACCUACCCUCAUGAAGGACAUUGAGGGGUUUAAGACUUUCAUGGAGGCGGUAACUGUAGAUGUGGUAGACCUAGCAGGAGAACUAGAAGUAGAAGUAGAGUCUGAAGAUGUGAUUGAAUGGCUGCUAUCUCAUGAUAAAAUUUUCACAGAUGAGGAAUUGCUUCUUUUGAAUGAGCAAAGAAAGUGGUUUCUUGAGAUGGAAUCUACUCCUGGUGAAGAUGCUAUGAAGAUCGUUGAAAUGACAACAAGAGAUUUAGAAAAUUACAUACAUUUAGUCAAUAAAGCAGCAGCAAGAUUUGAGAGAAUGGACUCCAAUUUUGGGAGAAGUUCUGCUGUGGGUAAAAUGCUAUUUAAACAGCAUUGCAUGAUACAAAGAUAUUGUUUGUGAAAGGAAGAGUCCAUCAGUGCAGCAAACUUCAUUUUUGUUUUAUUUUAAGAAAUUGCCACAGCCUCCCCCCACCUUUAGCAACCACCACCCUGGUCAGUCACAGCCAUUAACAUCAAGGCAAGACCCUUUCCCAGCAAAAAGAUUACAACUUGAUGAAAAGCUCAGAUGAUGGUUAGCAUUUUUAGCAAUACAGUAUUUUUUAAUUAAGGUAUUUAUAUUAUUUUUCAGAUGUAAUACUAUUGCACACUCAAUAGACUAUAGUAAAGAGUAAACAUAACUUUAUAUGUACUGGAAAGCCAAAAAGUUCAUUUGACUUGAUUCAUUGAGGUGUGUGUGUGGGGGGGUGUUUAAAGACUUGGUUAUUUUGGGGUGCCUGGGUGGCUCAGUUGGAUAAGUGUCUGGCUCUUGAUUUUGGCUCAGGUCAUGAUCUCAGGGUCAUAAGAUCAAGCCCUGGCACCAGGCUCUGUGCUGAGCAUGGAGCCUACUUAAGAUUCUCUCUGCUCCUCCCUUUGCCCCUCCCCUGCUUGCUUGCAUGCAUGCAUGCUCUCAAAAAAAGGAAAAAAAAAAAAAAAGAAAAGAA